UUAAAGAAGCCCAGCAGAACCACAAAUUUCCUGUACUCAACAACUAUCAUCAUAAAUUCUGAAGCAAAGGCCAAAUUCUCAUCUCAUUGUGUAUGGUUUUCAAUUUCCUCUUUUCCAACUACUGUUUCUCAUCAUUCAUCAACUAAUAGUAUUAUCUCUAAUGAUUUAUUCUUGUUAACCAACAAAUCAUCAUCAUCUGUCUCAACAGAGGAACAAGAACAAGAACAUAAACAUCAUCAUCAUCAUCAUGAUUUGGGUUCUCAUCAGAAUCAUAAACAACAAAUCAAAAAUUCCAUCAUCAAAUAUCUUACCCAUCAAUAUCACAAUGAUAUUUCCUCUCAAAACAAUAGUCUCGAACAAUAGAACAUCAGCAGCGUUUUUCCAGUUUUAUGGUUCCAUUGACAACAUUCUCUAUUCCUUACAUUCUUUUGGGUAAUAGCUCUAAGUCAGUUGGAACCUGUGGUUGAAUUAGGACAUCAGACUUUGAAUGGUUGAGUUGAAACUCAGAUUUAGGCUGAUGAGAAAAUUGAUAGUUUAGGGGUUGAUCUACGAAAAGAAAAGGGAAUAUUACGAUUUUAGAUUUUGUUUUAACAUUAGUUAGUUUACUUGUUGAGGUUUGAGAAUUGAGUGUUGAUUUAUUUAUUAUUUAUCUUGAGAUUUGUUUGGAAAUGUAAAAAACAUUGGGUAUGUUAUUGUUAUCUGCUUAUUGUUUUUGACAUUUGCUUAUUGUUUGAAGCUGUCUAUGAUCUUCAAUCACUAGUUGAUGAACUACUGCCGGCAAUCUGAAAGUCUGGACUGCAAUUUUGAUGACUGCUAAAAUUAUUUUUCUUUGAUGAACUACUACCGGCAAUCUGAAAGUCUGGACUGCAAUUUUGAUGACUACUACCGGCAAUCGGAAGUCGAGAAUUGAAACAGUCAACUCGGGUCAACGUCCAGUCCAAGUGUUGGUCAAAACUUGAGUACCAAACACCAAUUUUUUCACUUUCCCAGUGUGGCACGGCCUUGACUAGUUAUAAUCCGUAGGAGGAUUUUUCUGGGGAUCAUGGUAGAGAUGGCAAAGUAAAGUGCAAUUGAAUUAGAGCCCAAUUUACUGAAACUAUGCACUAUUAGUAUUAUUUGAGUGAGCAUGAUCGAGUGAUUCGAGUUGAGGCAGUUCUUUCAGUUUUUAUUUGCUGGGAUGAUGCUCUUUUCUAAUGUUUUUCUUUAAAUGGAGUUUGGUUUCUGUAGUUGUCUGGUUGAUAAUAAUGGAUCUAGUAAAAUCUCAGUGAAGAACGCGGCCAAUUUCACUCUGCAACACCAUCCGCAAAACUCAUAUCAAAACUAGCAAACAACUUCUUAGCAAAUUAUAUCAUCUCCUCUUACCAAUCGGCUUUAGUCUUAAGUAGGAAUCGGAAACUUUGGUACAUGGGCUUAAAAAUUAAUAUGACUAACAGAGCAGGGUGGCCAUUUCUGCUGGUUGACGUCAUGAAGAAACUUGGCUUUUUGUGAAGAAUGAAGGUCUUUAGUUGAUCAUGCAUAAGCACUACCUUUAAUGUUGUUUCGGUAUAAACAAGAGGGGUAAUAACCACUUUUUUUUCACUCAUCAACUAUCUAUUCUUUCAGAUGCCAAAUUCUCAUCUCAUCCAUCAAUAAUGUUUCAGUGUGGAUGGUCUUCAAUGUCUUCUUCUUCAACUACUAUUUCUUAUGAUUCAAAAACUAGUAGUAGAAGUAACUCUAAUGAUUUAUUCUUUCUAAUCAGCAAAUCAUCACCUGUAUCAACAGAGGAAGAAGAAGAAGAAGAUGAACAUCAUCAGCAUCAUGAUUUGGGUUCUCAUCAGAGUCAUCAACAACAAAUCAAAAAGAUCCAUCAUCAAAUAUUUGACCCUUCAACGGCGUAAUAAUAUUUCCUCUCAAAACAAUAGUCUUACAUUCAAGAUCAAUGGCAGCGUUUUUUCAGUUCUUUGGUUCUCCUUGCCCUUUGGAUUGUGGAUCUGUCCAGGUGCAAAAUAUCAAAGAGGUUGAACCUGUGGUCUAAUUGCUACUGAUAAUUUCAGUUUUUGGGUAAGUGAGAAAAGUGAAAAUUAGGGGUUGAUCAAGAAAAAGAAAAGGGAAUAUUAGGAUUUUAGAUUUAUUUACAAACUUGGUGAGUUUACUUGUUGAGGUUUGAGAGCUGAUUAUUGAAUCUUACAUUUACAUUAUUACUUGUGAGUUUACUGUAUCUAUUAUUACAUUUACAUUUUGCUGAAAUGAGAAAAUCUAUGAACAAAGCUAUAC